rnacentral:rRNA from 1 species
GACGAACGCUGGCGGCGUGCUUAACACAUGCAAGUCGAACGGAAAGGCCCUGCUUUUGUGGGGUGCUCGAGGGGCGAACGGGGGAGGAACACGUGAGUAACCUGCCCUUGACUUUGGGAUAACUUCAGGAAACUGGGGCUAAUACCGGAUAGGAGCUCCUGCUGCAUGGUGGGGGUUGGAAAGUUUCGGCGGUUGGGGAUGGACUCGCGGCUUACGAGCUUGUUGGUGGGGUAGUGGCUUACCAAGGCUUUGACGGGUAGCCGGCCUGAGAGGGUGACCGGCCACCUUGGUCCUGCGAUACGGCCCAGACUCCUACGGUAGGCAGCAGUGGGGAAUAUUGCACAGUGGGCGGAAGCCUGAUGCAGCAGCGCCGCGUGCGGGAUGACGGCCUUCGGGUUGUAAACCGCUUUCGCCUGUGACGAAGCGUGAGUGACGGUAAUGGGUAAAGAAGCACCGGCUAACUACGUG